rnacentral:rRNA from 1 species
AGCGUUGCUCGGAAUCACUGGGCGUAAAGAGCACGUAGGCGGAUUCUUAAGUCGGUGGUGAAAUCCUGGAGCUCAACUCCAGAACUGCCUUCGAUACUGAGAGUCUUGAGUUCGGGAGAGGUGAGUGGAACUGCGAGUGUAGAGGUGAAAUUCGUAGAUAUUCGCAAGAACACCAGUGGCGAAGGCGGCUCACUGGCCCGAUACUGACGCUGAGGUGCGAAAGCGUGGGGAGCAAACAGG